rnacentral:rRNA from 1 species
ACGACUCUCGGCAACGGAUAUCUCGGCUCUCGCAUCGAUGAAGAACGUAGCGAAAUGCGAUACCUGGUGUGAAUUGCAGAAUCCCGUGAACCAUCGAGUCUUUGAACGCAAGUUGCGCCGAGGCCAUCCGGCGAGGGCACGCCUGCCUGGGCGUCACGCCAAAAGACGUCCACGCGCCCCCCUAUCCGGAGGGCGCGGGACGCGGUGUUGGCCCCCCGCGCUCGCGGCGCGGUGGGCCGAAGCUCGGGCUGCCGGCGAAGCGUGCCGGGCACAGCGCAUGGUGGACAGCUCACGCUGGCUCUAGGCCGCAGUGCACCCCGGCGCGCGGCCGGCGCGAUGGCCCUCAGGACCCAAACGCACCGAGAGCGAACGCCUCGGACCGGACCCCAGGUCAGGCGGGACUACCCGCUGAGUUUAAGCAUAUAAAUAAGCGGAGGAGAAGAAACUUACGAGGAUUCCCCUAUACGGCGAGCGAACCGGGAGAUGCCCAGCUUGAGAAUCGGCGCCGCGCCGUCCGAAUUGUAGUCUGGAGAGGCGUCCUCAGCGACGGACCGGGCCCAAGUCCCUGGAAAGGGGCGCCUGGAGGUGAGAGCCCCGUCGGCCCGGACCUGUCGCCCACGAGCGCCGUCAACGAGUCGGGUUGUUUGGGAAUGCAGCCAAAUCGGGCGGUAAACUCCGUCCAAGGCUAAAUACAGCGAGAGACCGAUAGCGAACAAGUACGCGAGGAAAGAUGAAAAGGAUUUGAAAAGAGAGUCAAAGAGUGCUUGAAAUUGCCGGGAGGGAACGGAUGGGGGCCGGCGAUGCGCCCCGGCCGUAUGCGGAACGGCCUCGGCUGGUCCGCCGAUCGCUCGGGGCGUGGACCGUUGUCGGCCGCGCCGGCGGCCAAAGCCCGGGGGCUCCGCGCCCCGCAGCCGUCGUCGGCGCAGCCGGUCACCGCGCGCCUCUGGCGCGCCCUCGGGGCGCUGCGCUGCAACGGCCUGCGGGCUCCCCAUCCGACCCGUCUUGAAACACGGACCAAGGAGUCUGACAUGCGUGCGAGUCGACGGGUUCUGAAACCUGGAUGCGCAAGGAAGCUGACGAGCGGAGGCCCUCACGGGCCGCACCGCUGGCCGACCCUGAUCUUCUGUGAAGGGUUCGAGUUGGAGCACGCCUGUCGGGACCCGAAAGAUGGUGAACUAUGCCUGAGCGGGGCGAAGCCAGAGGAAACUCUGGUGGAGGCUCGAAGCGAUACUGACGUGCAAAUCGUUCGUCUGACUUGGGUAUAGGGCGAAAGACUAAUCGAACCAUCUAGUAGCUGGUUCCUCCGAAGUUUCCCUCAGAUAGCUGGAGCCCAUUACGAGUUCUAUCGGGUAAAGCCAAUGAUUAGAGCAUCGGGGCGCAACGCCCUCGACCUAUUCUCAACUUUAAAUAGGUAGGACGGCGCGGCUGCUCCGGUGAGCCGCGCCACGGAAUCGGGAGCUCCAAGUGGGCCAUUUUGGUAAGCAGAACUGCGAUGCGGGAUGAACGGAAGCCUGGUUACGGUGCCGAACUGCGCGCUAACCUAGAACCAAAAGGGUGUUGGUCGAUUAAGACAGCAGGACGGUGGUCAUGGAAGUCGAAAUCCGCUAAGGAGUGUGUAACAACUCACCUGCCGAAUCAACUAGCCCGAAAAAUGGAUGGCGCUGAAGCGCGCGACCCACACAGCAUCUGGGCGAGCGCAUGCCCCGAUGAGUAGGAGGGCGCGGCGGCCGCGCAAAACCCGGGGCGCGAGCCCGGCGGAGCGGCCGUCGGUGCAGAUCUUGGUGGUAGUAGCAAAUAUUCAAAUGAGAAUUUGAAGGCCGAAGAGGAGAAAGGUUCAUGUGAACGGCACUUGCACAUGGGUAAGCCGAUCUAAGGGACGGGUAACCCGGCAGAGAGCGCGACCACGCGCGUGCCCGAAAGGGAAUCGGGUUAAGAUUUCCCGAGCCGGGACGUGGCGGUUGACGGCGACGUUAGGAAGUCCGGAGACGCCGGCGGGGGCCUCGGAAGAGUUAUCUUUUCUGCUUAACGGCCCGCCAACCCUGGAACGGUUCAGCCGGAGGUAGGGUCCAGCGGCCGGAAGAGCACGCACGUGCGCGGUGUCCGGUGCGCCCCGGCGGCCCUUGAAAAUCCGGAGGACGAGUACGUCCACGCCCGGUCGUACUCAUAACGCAUCAGGUCUCCAAGGUGAACAGCCUCUGGCCAAUGGAACAAUGUAGGCAAGGGAAUCGGCAAAACGGAUCCGUAACUUCGGGAAAAGAUUGCUCUGAGGCUGGGCUGGGUCCGGCCCCGAACCCGUCGGCUGCCGGCGGACUGCUCGAGCUGCUCGCGCGGCGAGAGCGGCCGCCGCGUCUGCGGGGGACGGACCGGGAACGGCCCCUCGGGGGCCUUCCCCGGCGUCGAACAGCCGACUCAGAACUGGUACGGACAAGGGAAUCCGACGUUUAAUUAAAACAAAGCAUUGCGAUGGUCUCGCGGAUGCUGACGCAAUGUGAUUUCUGCCCAGUGCUCUGAAUGUCAAAGUGAAGAAAUUCAACAAGCGCGGGUAACGGCGGAGUAACUAUGACUCUCUUAAGGUAGCCAAAUGCCUCGUCAUCUAAUUA